AAAGAUGCGGUGAUAAGAAGAGUACGAUUGAAUGACUUCAUAGAGAGUUCGUGGCUGGUGGAAGCGAAUAGGAAAAACAAUCAGAAGAUGGUCUUUGAGCAUUUGCGGACGAAUAAUCUGCAACGGAGAGAGCCCGAUAGCGCAAUCCAGUUUGUUCUAACGAACUGACCAAGUGUUUUUGCGUGAGCAAAAUCAAAUGUAAGGUGGUACCACGAGAUAAUCGUCCUUUCA
rnacentral:ncRNA from 1 species